GUAGGGAAUAUUGGACAAUGGGCGAAAGCCUGAUCCAGCCAUGCCGCGUGAUAGAUGAAGGCCCUCUGGGUUGUAAAUAUCUUUUAUCUGGGAAGAAACUCCUCUAUUCUUAGAGGCCUGACGGUACCAGAGGAAUAAGCACCGGCUAACUCCGUGCCAGCAGCCGCGGUAAUACGGAGGGUGCAAGCGUUAUCCGGAUUCACUGGGUUUAAAGGGUGCGUAGGCGGGUUGAUAAGUCAGUUGUGAAAGCUCCGGGCUUAACUUGGAAACUGCCAUUGAUACUGUCAAUCUUGAAUGUCGUAGAGGUAAGCGGAAUGUUGCAUGUAGCGGUGAAAUGCUUAGAUAUGUUACAGAACACCAAUUGCGAAGGCAGCUUACUAUGCGAUAAUUGACGCUGAGGCACGAAAGCGUGGGGAGCAAACAGGAUUAGAUACCCCAGUAGUCC
rnacentral:rRNA from 1 species